rnacentral:rRNA from 1 species
AUUCCCCUAGUAACUGCGAGUGAAGCGGGAAAAGCUCAAAUUUAAAAUCUGGCGGUUAACUCCCGUCCGAGUUGUAAUCUGAAGAAGCAUUUUCGAUGCCAGCCCGUGUACAAGUCUCUUGGAACAGAGCGUCAUAGAGGGUGAGAAUCCCGUCCAUGGCACGGACAUAGCUGGUGUCAUAUGAUAUGCUUUUCAAAGAGUCGAGUUGUUUGGGAAUGCAGCUCAAAAUGGGUGGUAAAUUCCAUCUAAAGCUAAAUAUAGGCAAGAAACCGAUAGCGAACAAGUACCGUGAGGGAAAGAUGAAAAGCACUUUGAAAAGAGAGUUAAACAGUACGUGAAAUUGUUGAAAGGGAAACGCUUGAAGUCAGUCACAUUGGCCGGGACUCAGCCGCGACUUUGGUCUCGGUGUACUUCCUGGUUGAUGGGUCAAUAUCAAUUUUGGUCGACGGAUAAAUUCGGCUUGAAUGUAGCACCCUUUUGGGUGUGUUAUAGCUUGUCGUCUGAUACGCCGACUGGGAUUGAGGAUCGCAGCAUGCCCUUGUGGCCGGGGUUCGCCCACGUAUUGUGCUUAGGAUAUUGACAUAAUGACUUUAAUCGACCCGUCUUGAAACACGGACCAAGGAGUCUAACAUGCCUGCGAGUAUUAGGGUGAMUAAACCCUUGUGCGCAAUGAAAGUGACAGUUGGGACCCUCUCACGAGGGGCACCGACGCCCGGCCUUGAUCUUCUGUGACGGUGCCGCGGUAGAGCAUGUAUGUUGGGACCCGAAAGAUGGUGAACUAUGCCUGAAUAGGGCGAAGCCAGAGGAAACUCUGGUGGAGGCUCGUAGCGAUUCUGACGUGCAAAUCGAUCGUCAAAUUUGGG